GCGCGAGUGGCGGAAUGGCAGACGCACCAGCUUGAGGGGCUGGCGGGAGCAAUCCUGUGAGAGUUCAAAUCUCUCCUCGCGCACCA
rnacentral:tRNA from 1 species